rnacentral:rRNA from 1 species
AUUGAACGCUGGCGGCAUGCCUUACACAUGCAAGUCGAACGGCAGCAUGGGUGCUUGCACCUGAUGGCGAGUGGCGAACGGGUGAGUAAUACAUCGGAACGUACCCGGAAGUGGGGGAUAACGUAGCGAAAGUUACGCUAAUACCGCAUAUUCUGUGAGCAGGAAAGAGGGGGAUCGCAAGACCUCUCGCUUUCGGAGCGGCCGAUGUCGGAUUAGCUAGUUGGCGGGGUAAAGGCCCACCAAGGCAACGAUCCGUAGCGGGUCUGAGAGGAUGAUCCGCCACACUGGGACUGAGACACGGCCCAGACUCCUACGGGAGGCAGCAGUGGGGAAUUUUGGACAAUGGGGGCAACCCUGAUCCAGCCAUGCCGCGUGAGUGAAGAAGGCCUUCGGGUUGUAAAGCUCUUUCGGCCGGGAAGAAAUCGCACGGGCUAAUACCUUGUGUGGAUGACGGUACCGGAAUAAGAAGCACCGGCUAACUACGUGCCAGCCGCCGCCGUAA